UGAAUAUCUGUCUGAUCUGAGGAUCGAAAAGUGUGGUCGCCCAUUCCGACUUUGUCCGUGGAAGAAGGCGGAAGCGGUUAGUGAUUUUGUACCGCGUGUUACCCGUGUUGAAGUGAGAUUAGAAAACUAGUAGUGCGAAUUAAUUGAUACGCUGAAGAAGUUAGAUACUCUCCAGUGCACCAGCAAACCUAAUUGGAGAAAAAGCCGCUUACUGACCCCACGUGCGAGGUCUGGAAGUUACCAUCAUACUCGUCAAUUCUGGUGGCCGCGCGGUGCGCUUACGCAAGACGGCACUCGCGCCAAAAGGGGAAACAGCACACAGUACGCAGCACGGAGCCAUCACUCGUCCGUGUGCGUACUCGAGAUUCAUCGUCCCGUUCAACGUCUGCAGCGAACGACGGUAAAGCAGAACCACGUAAAACCUAGGUCGUGAGUACAAAUCUAUUUAUUUCCGUAACUAAUACAUGCGCAUGUAGGGAAUAAAUAGAGACAGAAGAACCACACAACUAAUAAAUGCCACACAACAAUGCCACACUAGAUUUUGUACAGUGUUCUUACCGACAGUGAGCGCAAGCCCGUCGGCAGAAAGAAAAGCCUGAAUGAGAUGAGGCGAUAGAGUAGUUAGGAAACGUGCCGUUCAGAGAAUCGAUGGG